rnacentral:lncRNA from 1 species
CGACUCCAAGAAGGCAGUCCCCUGACAGCCUGUACUGCUGGGUCCAGGGCCUUGAUGCCGGGAAGUUAUUUCGUUUAUGUUUGCCUGUUUAAAGUCCCCAUUUGCUUUUCUUCAAGGUCCAGCUUCCAAGUCUAGUUGACUUUUUACCAUCACUCACUGGGCUGGCCACACAGUGCCGGAAUUCAUGGGCCUCCCUGGACAGGCUAUUUUCCGAGACCCAUGGAAAUCAGAUCAAUGCUCGCUCGCUCUGUGACUUUCAUCAUCCACGUGCUUUCUAAAUAUGAACUCAUUCUUCUUGCAAGAAUCAGGUUAAGCAUUGUUAUCCCCACUUUACAGAUGGGCGUGCCCAGAUUUCAUUAUUCCGAAGAUAGAUUUUGAGUCCAUGAUAAAUGUACUUAGCAUUAUAGUAAAUUGAAGAUGAAAAGGCCUAAUAGGUUACCCGGUAUUGCCCCUCCCUCUU